rnacentral:lncRNA from 1 species
GUUUAUGGAAGGAUUUGAUAGAUUUGAUCUAGUUUAUGGAAAGAUUUGAUCCAGUGGCAAUUUGGUAAUUUCUGUCAAGUUUGGAGUGUCGUUUUUUUUUUUGCGUUUUCGGAGCCUAAUUUCAUUGGAAACCGGUCAACGGUCAAAAGUCACAAGCGCUUUGCUCGUGAACUGCAGUGUUUUUUGGUCAAAUUCUAUCGUUUAGGCCUUUAAAAUUACAUUUUAUUGUUUUCGAGUUAUUUUUUUAAUUUUCCUUACUAGUUUUCCUUUUCCGUUUUGGAUUCCGCUUUUAGGAUUUUGUUAUUUUAACGUUUGUUAUGAUGUGAAGCAGCAGUUUUUAUGAACAACAGACUUUUUCUUAUUUUCCAAAAUUCUCUUAAUUAGAAUUUUGUUGCCUAUUUGCUGGUAUUCGUAGAAUCAACAGGUUGUAGAAGGUUAUCGUUUGGCAAUCGUGCGCGAUUCAACAAUUGAUAAAACUUUUCGUUGUAAUUCCG